AUCCCCCUUCUCACUUUGCCAAUUGGACUUAUUUCUUAAUUGGUCAUUCAUGUGGGACAAAGGAAGUGUCCUUUUAAAAAAACUCAAGCAAACUGGGCAUUUGUCUUGCAUCUUGUCAGAGGAAACAACA